UUGUUGCUUUGUUUUUCUUUUUUUUAACUUAUUACUCUACUUGUGUCGCACAUUCAUACAGAUAGACACAAUUUAAAAAAUAUUAAUAAUAAAAUAAGAAGUAACAAAGAAUGUACUGAACAAAAUAAAAAUAGAUUAGAAAAUGUAGUAGUGAGAAUAAGAAAAUUGAAUUCAAACGAAGAAUCAACAUUACAUACGGAUCCCAAUAAUGACACUGUUUUAUAUUUUCAUAAAAAUUUUGAAAUAGAAAAGUAUAACUUUGAUGUAGUUUUUAAUGAAAAUGAUAGUAACGAAAUAGUAUUUAAAAAAAUAGGUGGACAUUUAAUGAUAAAUAAUGUUUGUAAUGGUUAUAUGGAAACUAUUAUAACAUAUGGUCAGACAGGUAGUGGGAAAACAUAUACAUUGUUUGGGUCUGAUAAAGAACAUGGCAUUUUAUAUCACUUUGUUUACCACUUAUAUAAAAUAUGUGCUUCGAAAAAUAAAAAAAAUUCUGUUUAUUUGAGUAUAUAUGAAAUUAUCGGAGAUAUGCUAAUAGAUUUAAUACCAGAAGAUGUAACAAAUGAAACAAAUCAAUUUUAUACUAAUGAACACUACUUAAAAACUAUAAAAUAUUCUUAUAAAGUUGUUCAUAUUAAAAAUUACGAAACUGCAAAAAAAAUGAUUGACGCGGCUUAUCUUUUGAGAAAUGUUGAAGCUACAUCGCAAAACAUUAGGUAAAAAAAAAAACGGACACCCCACCCUAAUCCACUCAUCUACUCAGUCAGCCAUAUUACACAAUCAUAUGUCCAUAUUUUAUAACUGCUUGUUCUUCAGGUCAAGUAGGUCACAUGCUAUUAUUCAAUUUUUCGUAAACGUAUGUGAUAAAUAUAUAACUAAUGGAAUAAAAACCGUUCAAGAAUACAAUGGGGUACUCACCUUAGUUGAUCUUGUUGGUUGUGAGAGAGAAGAAUUUAACAUUAAUAAAAAUGAAAAUCGAAAUAAUAAAACCUCAAGUAAAUUUUUAAACUCUUCACUAACCUCUUUGAAUAAAAUGCUUAGAAAAAUGCAGAUGGGCAAUUUAGAUGAGUCCGACAAACGUCAAAGUGUUUUGUGUAAAGUGCUUUUUAAUUACAUUCAAAAAACUUGUGGGGUUUGCCUUAUUUUUUGUUUUAAUCCUAAAUUAAGCCAGAAGAGUCUAACUAACUCAACCCUUAUCAUGGCGAGUGAGUGCAAAAAAAUAAAAAGUCAAAGAAAACAACUAAUAUACAUCAGAUCUGAAAAUAAAGAAAUGUUUUUUAAUCAAAUAGCAAAUGGUAACAAAAUGGAAAAUGAAAAAAAUAAAGAAAAUGAUGAAGAAAAAAGAGUAAAUGUAGACAUUGAUUUUACACAACAAAGUAGUUCUAAAGGUGUUGCUGAUACAACUGACACAUUUAAUACAAAUAGUAUUAAUAGGGUUGAACGGAAUGAAUCACAAAGCGGUUAUGCUAACAACCCUAAUGUUUUUAUUAUUUGUACUAACAAUGAUGGGGCUAAUAAUAUGAUUAAUAUAUCUAGUAAAACAAAAAAAAAUGAAAAAUAUAAUAUACUAAGAAAUGUUGUAUCUGAUAUUAUUAGUGAACAACUAAAGGAAGAAGAAAAAAAAAUUAAUUUUAUAGAAAAAUUAAAAACAGAUAUUGUUAAUUUAAAAAAUGAAUGUAUGUAUUGGAAAAAAGAAGCUAAUAAUUAUAAUAAUAAAUUAAAAGCAUUAAAUAAAAAUUAUUUGAAGAUAAAUGAAUUUCUUUUUAAUACUCUAAAUAAUUCUUAUAACGAUGAUAAAUUUAAUCAGGAAAAGGAAAAACAUUAUGAUAAAAAUGAAAAUCUUGUUUAUAGUAUUGAUCUAGCAAAUUCCCUUAGUAAAAUUGUGACUAGUGGAAAUAGCGAAAGUAGAAGGAAGCAAUAUAAUGCACAAUACCAUGAUGGAAUGGGUGAAAGGGGUAGAAGAAACGAGAUGAUCGAAAUAGACAGAAGAAGUGAGGCGAAUGAGACAGACAAAUUGAACGAAUGGGAAAAAAAGACUAAUUAUUAUGAUCCACCUGAACAAUUCAGGCAAAAUAAAGAAUAUCACGCAAAAAGAUCAGCAACAAAUAAAAAUCAGGCAAACAUAAACCAGGCAAAUUAUAAUUUUAACACGCAAAAUCCUAAUGAAGUUUAUCAAAUGAAUGCACAUAAAAUAGAAAAAAGUAAAUCCUAUAACACAAAUAGUUCUUUGACUGAAAAUAAAAAAUAUGACGAAGAAAAUUUUAAACAAAAUAACUUGCCUGAACAGAUUAAAAAUUAUCAAAAAAUGCCUCCCAACCAGUUAACGAAGAAUGGACAAACACGGGGGCGUAACUAUGAACAACAGCCGCGUAACUUUGAACAACAGCCGCGUAACUUUGAACAACAACCGCGUAAUUUUGAACAACAGUCGCGUAAUUUUGAACAACAGCCGCGUAACUAUGAACAACAACCGCGUAAUUUUGAACAACAGCCGCGUAACUUUGAACAACAGCCGCGUAAUUUUGAACAACAGCCGCGUAAUUUUGAACAACAACCGCGUAACUUUGAACAACAGCCGCGUAACUUUGAACAACAACCGCGUAACUUUGAACAACAGCCGCGUAACUUUGAACAAGUACAAACUCGAAAUCAUGAACAAACACGAAAUUUGCAAAAUGUUAAGCUAAAACCUGAACAGGUCAUACAAAUUAACGAUAAUAAUGAAAAAAAAAUGAAUAGUGAAAAAGUUUUUAAUAACAAUAAUAACAAUAGUAACAAUAGUAAUAGUAGUAGUAUUAAUGAAAAACAUCCAAACAUACAGAAUAGUAACAAUAUGUCAACACAUUAUAAUAAAAUGAACACAGAAAAAUAUAAAACAAGUUAUGACAAAGAAACAGCAUUAAUUGAUAAAUCGUUGCCUAUACAUGAUGAAAGUGAAACAUCUCAAUUUAAAAUAAGUCCAUCCCCUAGUAACAUAAUGAAAAGUGCUACUAUGAAUUCUUUAGAAAAUACCGACAUUAUUAAUACUUUAAAAAAUGAUGAGUAUAAAAACAGUCAUAAUAAUAUUAGUGUUGAAACUUUAGCUACAAAAAUAAAAAAUAGAAUUUUAAAAUCAAGAAGUUUGUCAAUAGCUAGAUAAAAUAUAAAAUUAUGAACAGCAAUAAAAAGUGUUAAAAAAAAAAAAAAAAAAAAUUA
rnacentral:lncRNA from 1 species